rnacentral:rRNA from 1 species
AUUGAACGCUGGCGGCAUGCUUUACACAUGCAAGUCGAACGGCAGCACGGGGGCAACCCUGGUGGCGAGUGGCGAACGGGUGAGUAAUAUAUCGGAACGUACCCGGAAAUGGGGGAUAACGUAGCGAAAGUUACGCUAAUACCGCAUAUGCCCUAAGGGGGAAAGCGGGGGAUUCGCAAGAACCUCGCGUUUUCGGAGCGGCCGAUAUCGGAUUAGCUAGUAGGUGAGGUAAAGGCUCACCUAGGCGACGAUCCGUAGCUGGUCUGAGAGGACGACCAGCCACACUGGAACUGAGACACGGUCCAGACUCCUACGGGAGGCAGCAGUGGGGAAUUUUGGACAAUGGGCGCAAGCCUGAUCCAGCCAUGCCGCGUGAGUGAAGAAGGCCUUCGGGUU